UGGUGCUAUAGAUAGUAACCUAACUCAAUGAUCUAAAUGGACGCUUGUUAUUGUUGAAGACUGAAGUAGUUAUAAUAACAAUUAUUAGUAGACAUUAUUAAGGCCAGUUUAAAAUGUUAUAAAUGUAAUUUGUGAAAAAAUGGAAUUAUAUAAAUUAAUAUAUUGUUAGAAAAAUCUAAGUAAAAUAAAACGCGAUGUGCGUCUGUGUGUUGAAAAAAUACUUUUGUUUAAUAAUUCUAUAUCGAUAUAUUAAAUAUAUUAUAUUAUAUAUAAAUUAUAAAUAUAUAUAUAUAACAGUGCUCUUAGUAAAAAAGAUCGGCAACAACGAUACAGGGGAUAGCACCGAGAAGAACUAAAAUAACGUGAAGCAGAAAGAAGGAAAAGUAAACAAAAUGUACUUUUCCAACCUACGACAAGCUGUUCAGAUUUUAAUAGUACAGAACAAGCACCGCAUAACGAACAUUUCAGUGAAAAUGUAGACAUGAAGAGUGCUCGUAAAAAAGAGCGUCAACGAAAAUAUAGGGAAUUGCACAGAGAACAACUUAAACAAUACGUGAAGCGGAAAGAAGAAAUAUCAAAAAAACGUUCAGCAGAGAGAAUAUGAUUUAGAGGAAGCAGAAAGAAUGAAGUCAGCAAUAUGUACAGACGUACAGUCCAUUGCAAGUAAUUCGAAUUCAGAUAAUGUACAACAAAAUUUAAUCAGCGAUCUGCAUCAAGGCACCACACGACAUUUGGAAAUAACACAAAAUAGCAAUAGAUAAUAUUCAUUGGAGUUGUUGCAUUAUUACAUUUUUAUAUGUCUUUGUAAAUCUUUUAAGUACUUCAUAUGGAAAUAAAAAACAAAAUAGUCUUA